CUCAGUGCCCCGCCUUCCUCCACCUCGCCUCUGACCCCCUCUGCACCAGAUCCACCUAGCCAAGACCUCUGUCGCGUCGUCCCCGAGGGCGCUGCUUGCAGGUAGCCCGCCAACAAGCUCCGGCACCAGCCCUCGGUCACCUCCACGGUUGCCCUCACCGUCCUGGUGAAACCACAAGCGUCGUCAAGUUCUUUUGGCAACCGAGCGCAAGCUUUGAUUCAUGAUCUCUUUGCCACAAUGUUUGGAAUCCCUACUCGCAUAUCCCAGGAGACUGAAAAAAGUACUCUAUAUAAACUGUGCUAAUUGAAUGCAAGCGGCCAAGGUGGGACUAUAUUUAGUAGGAGUUGAUAUAACCGGCAUUUAAUUCUUCCGUGGACCGUUUUUGUUGGUGGCUUAGUUGGGCUACAGCCGUGCCUUCGUGAUGGACGAACGAAAUCAAAACGAAUAGUGAAAACGUAUUACGACG
rnacentral:rRNA from 1 species